AACUGGCAGCAUGAGAGAAGGAUUUCCUGGAUGUCAUCUCCAUUCAAAUGCUGAUAAAGUGCAGCCAAAGCAGCUUAGACAAACAGCAGAUUUAAAGCUUUGCUGGAGAAGGAAAGAACUAGACAAGAAACUACAGCCUCAAUGGAAUGGAGAAGUAGAACUGGAGAACUAUCAGCACUCAUGCUUUGUUCUUGGGACAAAGCAAGAGAAAAAAUACCCAUAACAUUCCUACAGCUCCUACAGAGCAUGUCCUGCAUGAACCUGAGGCUCCAGUCACCUCCUUGGCAAAACUGAACCAUGGGUACUGCCCACCAGGACUCUCAGAACAACGAAUCCACGUGCUCUCUAAUCUUAACUUGAUUCGGUGGCAUCGCUCUCUUUCACCCUGAUGUCUUUGGUGUAAUUCUGCGAUGUGGACCUGUAACACCCCCAAAAGAACUGGAAUACAGGGUUUAGAUAUUUUGAGGC